UCAAGGGAGAACAGGACUGAAAGGUGGGCAGGAGAAGGUCAAAGGAAAAGUUCUUCUGAGGCUGUUUCUGAGGACUUCAUUUUAUGGAAAAAAUCUUCCUGUGACUUCCUACAACUUUUGGGAUAAAGACCAAAGUAUUUCAAAUGACCUACAAGAUCCUCUGGACUAUGGACUUACUUGCUCACUCCAGCUGUCCUAUGCUUUCUUCAGCGCCUCCAGCGUAGCCUGCUCUCUUUCACCUCAGGGCUAACUCCUAUUUUUCUCCAGGUCUAAUGAUCUAAAUAUCACUUCCUCAGGGUGGAAGGAAAUCUUCUGGGACUAGCUAGUCAAGGUCUCUGUGCCCCUUGUCAUAUGUUCCACAUUACCUUGAAUGUCCCCUUUCAUAACUCAUCACACCUGAGAUUACCUAUUUGUUGUCAACAGUGCUGGACUGUGAACUCCACAAAGAUUCCACUUCUAGCUUACCCAGUGCUAUAUCCCCAAACCUCAGAAGAGUAUCUGCUACAGCAGUCCUCCUUACCUGUGGUUUCAGUCAGCUGUGGCACAGUACGAUAACAUAUUUUGAGAGAGAAACUACAUAUAACCUUUACCACAGUAUAUUAUUAAUAACUGUUCUAUUAUUAGUUAUUGUUAAUCUCUUACUGUGCCUAAUUUAUAAGUUAAACUUUAUCAUAGGUAUGUAUGUAGAGGAAAAAACAGUAUAUAUAGGGUUCGGUACUAUCUGUGGUUUCAGGUAGCCACUGGGCAUCUUAGAACAUAUACCCCAUGGAUACAGGGAGGACUACUGUAGUCUACUUGCUGAAAAAAUUAAUUGUGGCUUAGUCAGGCAUUUCGUUGAGUACGAUGGACCUUACUUUGGAACUCAGAAAUCACUUUCUCCUGUGAAAAUAUCAAACUUGAAUGAAUUUUUGGAAUAAAAUACUUUGUAAAAUGGA